rnacentral:rRNA from 1 species
CGAGUAGGACUACCCGCUGAACUUAAGCAUAUCAAUAAGCGGAAGAAAAGAAACUAACAAGGAUUCCCCUAGUAACGGCGAGUGAAGAAGGAAGAACUCAAAUUUUGAAUCUGAAAUCUUUGGUGUCCGAGUUGUAAUCUAGAGAAGUGUUUUCCGUGGCGGACCGUGUACAAUCGA